AUUGAACGCUGGCGGCAGGCCUAACACAUGCAAGUCGAACGAGUGGCGGACGGGUGAGUAAUGUAUGGGAAACUGCCUGAUGGAGGGGGAUGACUACUGGAAACGGUAGCUAAUACCGCAUACCAUCGGAUGUGCCCAGAUGGGAUUAGCUAGUAGGUGGGGUAACGGCUCACCUAGGCGACGAUCCCUCGCUGGUCUGAGAGGAGGACCAGCCACACUGGAACUGAGACACGGUCCAGACUACUACGGGAGGCAGCAGUGGGGAAUAGUGCACAAUGGGCGCAAGCCUGAUGCAGCCAUGCCGCGUGUAUGAAGAAGGCCUUCGGGUUGGAAAGGACUUUCAGCGGGGAGGCGGUACCCGCAGAAGAAGCACCGGCUAACUCCGUGCCAGCCGCCGCGGUAAUUC
rnacentral:rRNA from 1 species